GUGAGGAAUAUUGGACAAUGGGCGCAAGCCUGAUCCAGCCAUACCGCGUGGGUGAAGAAGGCCUUCGGGUUGUAAAGCCCUUUUGUUGGGAAAGAAAUCCUAUCGGUUAAUAACCGGUGGGGAUGACGGUACCCAAAGAAUAAGCACCGGCUAACUUCGUUCCAGCAGCCGCGGUAAUACGAAGGGUGCAAGCGUUACUCGGAAUUACUGGGCGUAAAGCGUGCGUAGGUGGUGGUUUAAGUCCGUUGUGAAAGCCCUGGGCUCAACCUGGGAAUUGCAGUGGAUACUGGAUCACUAGAGUGUGGUAGAGGGAUGCGGAAUUUCUGGUGUAGCAGUGAAAUGCGUAGAGAUCAGAAGGAACAUCCGUGGCGAAGGCGGCAUCCUGGGCCAACACUGACACUGAGGCGCGAAAGCGUGGGUAGCAAA
rnacentral:rRNA from 1 species